UGGGGAAUUUUGGACAAUGGGCGAAAGCCUGAUCCAGCAAUGCCGCGUGUGUGAAGAAGGCCUUCGGGUUGUAAAGCACUUUUGUCCGGAAAGAAAUCCUUGGCUCUAAUACAGUCGGGGGAUGACGGUACCGGAAGAAUAAGCACCGGCUAACUACGUGCCAGCAGCCGCGGUAAUACGUAGGGUGCAAGCGUUAAUCGGAAUUACUGGGCGUAAAGCGUGCGCAGGCGGUUUGCUAAGACCGAUGUGAAAUCCCCGGGCUCAACCUGGGAACUGCAUUGGUGACUGGCAGGCUAGAGUAUGGCAGAGGGGGGUAGAAUUCCACGUGUAGCAGUGAAAUGCGUAGAGAUGUGGAGGAAUACCGAUGGCGAAGGCAGCCCCCUGGGCCAAUACUGACGCUCAUGCACGAAAGCGUGGGGAGCAAACAGGAUUNGAUACCCUGGUAGUCCACGCCCUAAACGAUGUCAACUAGUUGUUGGGGGGAACUUCAUUUUCCUUAGUAACGUAGCUAACGCGUGAAGUUGACCGCCUGGGGAGUACGGUCGCAAGAUUAAAACUCAAAUGAAUUGACGGGGUCAUAGCUG
rnacentral:rRNA from 1 species